ACUCAAAUGAAUUGACGGGGACCCGCACAAGCGGUGGAGCGUGUUGUUUAAUUCGACGAUAAACGUAGAACCUUACCAAGGUUUGACAUCCUAGGAAUUUCUCCGAAAGGAGAAAGUGCCUUCGGGAACUUAGUGACAGGUGUUGCAUGGCCGUCGUCAGCUCGUGUCGUGAGAUGUUUGGUUAAGUCCAUUAACGAGCGCAACCCUUAUGGUUAGUUGAAUUUCUCUAGCCAGACUGCCCCGGUAACGGGGAGGAAGGAGGGGAUGAUGUCAGGUCAGUAUUACCCUUACACCUUGGGCUACAAACACGCUACAAUGGCCGGUACAGAGGGCAGCCAACCCGCGAGGGGGAGCAAAUCCCAUCAAAGCCGGUCUCAGUUCGGAUUGCAGGCUGAAACUCGCCUGCAUGAAGCUGGAAUCGCUAGUAACGGUAGGUCAGCAUACUACCGUGAAUACGUUCCCGGGUCUUGUACACACCGCCCGU
rnacentral:rRNA from 1 species